rnacentral:rRNA from 1 species
AUUGAACGCUGGCGGCAGGCCUAACACAUGCGAGUCGAGCGGAUGAAGGGAGCUUGCUCCUGGAUUCAGCGGCGGACGGGUGAGUAAUGCCUAGGAAUCUGCCUGGUAGUGGGGGAUAACGUCCGGAAACGGGCGCUAAUACCGCAUACGUCCUGAGGGAGAAAGUGGGGGAUCUUCGGACCUCACGCUAUCAGAUGAGCCUAGGUCGGAUUAGCUAGUUGGUGGGGUAAAGGCCUACCAAGGCGACGAUCCGUAACUGGUCUGAGAGGAUGAUCAGUCACACUGGAACUGAGACACGGUCCCGACUCCUACGGGAGGCAGCAGUGGGGAAUAUUGGACAAUGGGCGAAAGCCUGAUCCAGCCAUGCCGCGUGUGUGAAGAAGGUCUUCGGAUUGUAAAGCACUUUAAGUUGGGAGGAAGGGCAGUAAGUUAAUACCUUGCUGUUUUGACGUUACCAACAGAAUAAGCACCGGCUAACUUCGUG